AAAGCUCAAAUUUGAAAUCUAGUACCUUCGGUGCUCGAGUUGUAAUUUGAAGAUAGUUUUCUGGUGCUGGCCCUUGUCUAUGUUCCUUGGAACAGGACGUCAUAGAGGGUGAGAAUCCCGUCUGAUGGGGUGUCCAGUGCUUUGUAGAUUUCUAUCGAAGAGUCGAGUUGUUUGGGAAUGCAGCUCUAAGUGGGUGGUAAAUUCCAUCUAAAGCUAAAUACUGGCGAGAGACCGAUAGCGAACAAGUACAGUGAUGGAAAGAUGAAAAGAACUUUGAAAAGAGAGUGAAAAAGUACGUGAAAUUGUUGAAAGGGAAGGGUAUUGGAUCAGACUUGGUGUUUUGUGAUUAUCUUCCCUUCUUGGGUUGUGCACUCGCAUUUCACUGGGCCAGCAUCGGUUCGGAUGGCAAGAUAAUGGCUUGGGAACGUGGCACUCUUCGGAGUGUGUUAUAUCCCUUGUUGAUGUUGCCUAUCUGGACCGAGGACUGCGGCUUCUGCCUA
rnacentral:rRNA from 1 species